UUUUAUCAAAAACAUGUCUUUUUGUAUUUAAUUUAAAGUUUGACCUGCCCACUGAAAUUUAAAUGGCCGCAGUAUUCUAACUGUGCAAAGGUAGCAUAAUCAUUAGUUUUUUAAUUGAAAGCUGGAAUGAAUGGUUGGAUGAGAUAUUAACUGUUUCAUAUAAAAUGAGAGUAAAAAUUAAUUUUUUAGUAAAAAAGCUAAAAUAUAAUUAAAAGACGAGAAGACCCUAUAAAUCUUUAUAUUAUGUUGGGGUGAUGUUAAAAUUUAAAAAACUUUUAUAAUAUUAUUUACAUUGAUUAAUGAAUUGUUGAUCCAUUUAUUAUGAUUAAUAUAUUAAGUUACUUUAGGGAUAACAGCGUAAUUUUUUUAGAGAGUUCAUAUUGAUAAAAAAGAUUGCGACCUCGAUGU
rnacentral:rRNA from 1 species